CGUAGGGUGCAAGCGUUAAUCGGAAUACUGGGCGUAAAGCGUGCGCAGGCGGUUAUGUAAGACAGAUGUGAAAUCCCCGGGCUCAACCUGGGAACUGCAUUUGUGACUGCAUAGCUAGAGUACGGUAGAGGGGGAGUGGAAUUCCGCGUGUAGCAGUGAAAUGCGUAGAUAUGCGGAGGAACACCGAUGGCGAAGGCAAUCCCCUGGACCUGUACUGACGCUCAUGCACGAAAGCGUGGGGAGCAAACAGGAUUAGAUACCCUGGUAGUCCACGCCCUAAACGAUGUCAACUGGUUGUUGGGUCUUCACUGACUCAGUAACGAAGCUAACGCGUGAAGUUGACCGCCUGGGGAGUACGGCCGCAAGGUUG
rnacentral:rRNA from 1 species